GAGCCUUGCUCGCGGUCGCGGCGGGUAUCGGUGGCGGUGCUGCCGAGCGCGGCGGCGAUGCGGCGGGAGAGGGAGCCGACGGCGGCGAGGAGGUCGCCGCAAGUGAAGCGGCGCUCCUCGCUGUCGGCGCCCGAGGCCGCUGCGUGGAUGACGGCGAGGCGGCCGGGUUCCUGGCGAGUGGCGCGCUCGAACGCGUGCGAGAUGCAGCACGGCUCCGCCGCCGCCAUUCCGCAGCUGGAGGAUUGGGUUGGGGAGCCGGCGAUUCGAAACAGUUCAACUCACUUUUGGGAUCCCCUCACUUGUGGCUAUAUAAGAAGGACAAA
rnacentral:misc_RNA from 1 species